GCUGGCGCAUCUCAGUCGGUUAGAGGCUGUGUGCACAUAACAGAUUCAAGGGGAGUCGGUGGUUCGAGUCCAUACGCCAGCA
rnacentral:tRNA from 1 species